rnacentral:lncRNA from 10 species
UUGGUAUGAAAAGGAAGCAUUCUCUUCCUUCCAUCCAUAUGCUAGCCUGCUUGAGCGGUCGUGUACUAUGACUAUGGAAAGCAUGACCUCAAAUUCCAGCCACACCACUUCCCAGCUGUGUACCGUUCAGCAAGUCACUUGCCCCCUGUAAUGACUCAACUUCCUGGUCUGUAAAAUAGAAUCAUAGUGGCCACCACCAGAGAGAAUUGCUGAGGGGAGUAAAUGAGAGCAUGAACGUAGAUUGCAGCACAGCGCCCAUCAUGCGGGAUGCUUUCAAUAACUGAUGUAAAAGAGCUAAUGACACCUGUUGUAAUGAGCUCUCUGCAGGAGUGUCCUAUGAAUCUGACGGAUGUGAAUUCUGGGGGUAACUAUGGAGUUCUAGUGACUACACAGAGACAAAGCACUUCUUGCUGCCACCAUGUGAAGAAGGAUGUGUUUGCUUCCUCUUUUGCCACAAUUGUAAGUUUCCUGAGGACUUCCCAGCCAUGCUGAACUCAGAAGAGGAAGUUGGAGGCAUGUGAGGUGCAGGAAGGAUUCUAAGCAGUGGUGCUGGCUUUGAAGAUGGAAGGCAUUGUACCUCAAUGAAUGUGACUGGUUUCUAGAAGCUGAGAGUAGCCAGCCCCCAGCUGACAGCCAACAAGGAAACAGGGACCUUGGUUCUCCAACCACAGAAAAUAGAUUCUACCAACAAGAAUGAGCUUGAAAGCAGAUUCUUCCCUCGCACUUAAAGUCUCCUGCAACUAUGGUGAUACACCUUGAUCCGGCAUCUUCCAUUCACCUCUCCAGAUUCAUUCUCCAUGCCUCAGUACUCUGUGCUAUUUCCCAGAAGGCUGAUCCUUAAGGACUACACCUGUGGGAUCCCUUGUCACUGGCAAUGGGACAAUGGGAGGUGCCAGCAGAAAAUCAGAGUGAUGAAGAAUGAGGUCUGGGUAUUUAUCUCCUGGCUUUCUGUAAGUAUACAAGGUGAUAAAAAGGAAAAUGAUUCCUAACAACUUGGGGGUAUGUGGAAGCAGGGGAAGGGGGUGCUGUGGGCUGAACUGUGUUUCCUCAAAGUCAUAUGCUGAAGCUCAAACUCCUAAUGUGACUGUAUUUGGAGCAGGGGCUUUUAAGAAGUAAAGUUAAAAGAUGUCACAAGGUGAACGUCACAAUCCAUUGGAAUAGGUGACCUUAUAAGAAAAGGGAGAGAGAUCUCUUCCUCUCCAGACACACACACACACACCCACACACACCAAGGAAAGGCCAUGUGAGCACGUGGUGAGAAGGCAGCCGUCUGUAAGCCAGGAAGAGAGACCUCACCAGAACUCAACCAUGUUGGCACCUGAUCUCGAACUUUCCAGCCUCUAGAACUGGAAGAAAGUACAUUUCUGUUUAAACUACCAGGUAUGUGAUAUUUUGUUAUGGCAGCCUGAAAAGACAUACAUGGGCAGGGAAGACUUCUCAGAGGUAUUUCUUGAGCUGAGACUUUUUGUUUCCUAGUGGUGGGAGGUAGGGUUUUCCAGGCAGAGAACACCAUGCAAUAAGGCACAAAAUUUCAGGGAAUAGUAUGUAUCAAGCACUUGGAUCAUAGAGUGCUUGGAAGGGAAGUGGAAGAGGCUGGAAAAGCAAGCAGAGGCCAGAUGUUAGGGUUUAAUGUCAAAGGCCAAGAAAUUUGCCUAAAAGAAGUCCAGUGGGAAACUACUGAGGGUUCUUAAGUCAUCUGAAGUAUGUAAUAGUAUCCAUGUUCAAAAGACCAUUCUUGUGAUUGUGUGAGAGGCCAGACUAAUAAAGAGGUAGAGAAUAAUUUAACUCUGAUUUUUGAAAUGUGCCCGAUGGAGCCCUCAGGGUCCUAAGUCAAGGAUCACCAUGAAGCUGGAGGAGGAGGCUAAGUGGGCAGGGUCAUGGGAUCCCAUGUCUACUUCACCCACAUAAGUUCUGUGGCCCUAGACUAGACCUGGAAUCUUUGUUACACUCAGGACAACUAGUCUAGAAUAUUUUACUUCAAAGACUGUACUGAAAGAGGCUACAUAGGGAGGUCAAAGGCACCUGCUUCAGCUCUUUUAGCUAUGGUGAAAAAGUCAGGGAAUUAUCAAGAAUUCUGAGAGAAAUGUGACUGGACCCAUGCCAGGAAGAUGUCAGAACUACUAAGAAAUACCAAUGGGGUGGACUGUUAUCAACCCCAGCUGAAUGACAGGCCAUAUGCAAAGUCCUAGACUAUUAUGGCUCUUAGAUUUUCAGACUACACCCAGUUGAUUAAAUGAGUCUGUGUGAUAAAUUGAAAUGUAAAAGGUUAUUUUCAUGCCAUGGAGAUCUGCUCUUGUCGGAUAUAUUUUCAUCUGAAAAUAUCGAUUAAAAUGAUUAAUAUAGACAUAACAAAAAUGACUAACUUGCUUUAGAGAAAAGAUGAUAUCUCUUAGGAAUGAGCUUUAAAAUCUCACGAGCGGUUUUUGGCAACUGCAUAGCAGAACUAAAAAGAAUGCAGGUUAAGUAUCUCUUACCCAAAAUGUUUCACAAGUAAAAUAAAACAGAAGUGUAUCAGAUUUCAAAUUUUUUUUAAAUUUUGGAAUAUCUGCAUAAACAAUGAGAUAUCUUGGGGAUAGGGCCCAAGUUUAAACAUAAAAUUAAUUUCUGUUUCAUAUACAGCUUAUGUACAUAAGCUGAUGGUAAUUUUAUACAUAUUUUAAAUAAUUUUGUACAAGACACAAAGGUUUGAAUGCAUUUUUGAAUGCAACCUGUCACACGGUCAGGUAUGUGAAAUUUUCCACUUGUGGCAUCGUGUUGACACUCAAGAAGUUUUGGUUUUGGAGCAUUUUGGAUUUUGGAUUUUAUGUAUUAUAAGAUUGUAAGGUAAAAACUAUGCCCAGGAGAGGGCAGUGCAGCCUUCUGUAAAGUUAACUAAUAGGCCCAAUAGAAAAUAGUGUGAGCAUUAAGAGCAGAGAUGUUCUAAUUCAUGAAAACUAUUUUGUGUUAAGUCACUUUACCUUUUUAAAACAUGAGAGACAUACUGCCACUUCUAUGUCCCUUGAAGAGACAGCACAAGGGAGAGCUGCUUAAGUCUUGUAAAAAAAAAUUCUGGAAAACUUUAGCUCCCUAAAACUGAAGAAUUGUAUCAAAACUGAAGAACUGUAUCAGUUCUAGCAGGUUUCUACUGACUUUCCUAUUUUAAACAAUUAUCUUUGUUUCUGAAAACUGAUUCAAUAAACUAGUUUUUAAAAGAGAUUAAUGUCUAAAAUUUUAUUUGUUUAUAUUCUCCUUUAAUUUACACUGUACACAUCUCCAAGAGCUGAUGAAAGUAUUCUAAACGGUUUCCUGUGGAAAUCUGUAGUACAGA